rnacentral:rRNA from 1 species
AAUCAACGCUGGCGGCGUGCCUCAGACAUGCAAGUCGAACGAUUAAGACUUCCUUCGGGAAGUGUAUAAAGUGGCGCACGGGUGAGUAACACGUAAGUAAUCUACCUUCGAGUGGGGAAUAACAUCGGGAAACCGAUGCUAAUACCGCAUAAUGCAGCGGCAUCGCAAGAUGACAGUUGUUAAAGGAGCAAUUAGCUUGAAGAGGAGCUUGCGGCAGAUUAGCUAGUUGGUAAGGUAAUGGCUUACCAAGGCUACGAUCUGUAUCCGGUCUAAGAGGACGGUCGGACACACUGACACUGAAUAACGGGUCAGACUCCUACGGGAGGCAGCAGUCGGGAAUGUUGGGCAAUGGGCGAAAGCCUGACCCAGCAACGCCGCGUGAGGGAUGAAGUAUUUCGGUAUGUAAACCUCGAAAGAAUGGGAAGAAUAAAUGACGGUACCAUUUAUAAGCUCCGGCUAACUACGUGCCAGCCGCCGCUGUAAAAC